CAGAAAAGAGACAGAGAAGAACGGCCUCCUGGGGAAUUCAAGAUCUGACUCGUAGCCAGAGAAUUGUCCAGAUAAGACAACCAGGUGCCUACCAUCACUCUCUAUGUAGCUUAGUCACCUCCAGCAGGUGAAGUGCAUCUCUCCACCUGUGAUAGUAUUCCAUGUGGUGUGUCUGACCAUGAUGCUUCAUGAACAACAAGAAAAUGCUAUCACUUCUGACAUGAUUUCCCUCUGAAGUGAUUUGCAUUAAAAUCCAUU